CCUACGGGUGGCAGCAGUGAGGAAUAUUGGUCAAUGGGCGGGAGCCUGAACCAGCCAAGUCGCGUGAGGGAAGACGGUCCUAUGGAUUGUAAACCUCUUUAGUCGGGGAGCAAUGCCGGGCACGCGUGCCCGGCUGGGUAGUACCCGCAGAAUAAGCAUCGGCUAACUCCGUGCCAGCAGCCGCGGUAAUCCGGAGGAUGCGGGGGUUAUCCGGAUGUAUUGGGUUUAAGGGGUGCGUAGGCGGCUGUUUAAGUCGGCGGUAAAAUGUCCGGGCUCAACCCGGGCCGGCCGUUGAAACUGGGGAUCUUGAGUGGGCGAGAAGUAUGCGGAAUGCGUGGUGUAGCGGUGAAAUGCAUAGAUAUCACGCAGAACUCCGAUUGCGAAGGCAGCAUACCGGCGCCCGACUGACGCUGAGGCACGAAAGCGUGGGGAUCAAACAGGAUUAGAUACCCUUGUAGUC
rnacentral:rRNA from 1 species